rnacentral:rRNA from 1 species
GACGAACGCUGGCGGCGUGCUUAACACAUGCAAGUCGAACGAUGAAAGCUGGAGCUUGCUCCGGCUGGAUUAGUGGCGAACGGGUGAGUAACACGUGAGCAAUCUGCCCUUCACUCUGGGAUAACCUCGAGAAAUCGAUGCUAAUACCGGAUACGACGCGCUGGGGCAUCCCAUGCGCGUGGAAAGAAUUUUGGUGAAGGAUGAGCUCGCGGCCUAUCAGCUAGUUGGUGAGGUAAUGGCUCACCAAGGCGACGACGGGUAGCCGGCCUGAGAGGGUGACCGGCCACACUGGGACUGAGACACGGCCCAGACUCCUACGGGAGGCAGCAGUGGGGAAUAUUGCACAAUGGGCGAAAGCCUGAUGCAGCAACGCCGCAUGGGGGAUGAAGGCCUUCGGGUUGUAAACCUCUUUUAGCAGGGAAGAAGCGAAAGUGACGGUACCUGCAGAAAAAGCACCGGCUAACUACGUGCCAGCCGCCGCCGUAAAAC